GGGUUGUGAGGUUAAGCGACUAAGCGUACACGGUGGAUGCCCUGGCAGUCAGAGGCGAUGAAGGGCGUGCUAAUCUGCGAUAAGCGCCGGUAAGGUGAUAU
rnacentral:rRNA from 3 species